rnacentral:lncRNA from 1 species
UAACAAAACCUUUUUAGUAUUCUUUUAUGAGCCGAACACCAAGUUGCAUACACAAACCACAACAACCCUAUAUGAUCAGGUAUAUAGAGAAAGUUACGAGCUAUAAACGAGUUCGGCUCAACGAGCUCCCCAACUAAGCCAACUAACAAUCCGGUCGUGCUAUGCCAGGAUUGGCUCGAGCUUAACUCAUUUAUUGUUGUCUCGGAGGAACAUUUUUAGUAUUUAUUGCGAGUCGUCGAGUCGAACUCCGAGCUGCUCUCUAUGAUUAAGUAUAUGGGAAGUGACUUUUUUCACCCCUAUCCUGUGGAACGGGUUACAGUACAAGCAAUAGAGAGACAAGCACAGCUGUAUCGCAAUCAAUUCCCACCUCAUCACCGGCCCCGCCUCUAGUAAUUGCUUCCUACUAGCUGCUACUUACUACUUACUACUUGCUCACAUUUUCUUCCACCACCAUCAAUCAUGGCGACUCCCAGAGUUCUCCUCACUCCGCUGCUCCUCCUUGUCUUGCUGUCUGUCUUAAGCGCCUUAUCUUCUUCUUCCGCCGCCGAAAGUACGGCGAUGAGCAGCGGCGGCGGACUGGAGUUCCCGAUCGCGAUGUCCAUGUACGGCGGUGGAGAGCUUGAGGAUGAGUUGGAAGAAGCGGAGGAAGACGGAGGAGAUGGAAAGAGAAGGGAGCUGUACUGGAGGAGAUGGCCGC